GCUACUACCGAUUGAAUGGUUUAGCGAGAUGCUCGGAUCGGGCCCAGCUCGUGCGAAAGCAUGUGCCGGGACUGAGAAGAAGUUCAAGCUUGAUCAUUUAGAGGAAGUAAAAGUCGUAACAAGGUUUUCGUAGGUGAACCUGCAGAAGGACA
rnacentral:misc_RNA from 1 species